rnacentral:rRNA from 1 species
AUUGAACGCUGGCGGCAGGCCUAACACAUGCAAGUCGAGCGGAUGAAGGGAGCUUGCUCCUGGAUUCAGCGGCGGACGGGUGAGUAAUGCCUAGGAAUCUGCCUGGUAGUGGGGGAUAACGUCCGGAAACGGGCGCUAAUACCGCAUACGUCCUGAGGGAGCAAGUGGGGGAUCUUCGGACCUCACGCUAUCAGAUGAGCCUAGGUCGGAUUAGCUAGUUGGUGGGGUAAAGGCCUACCAAGGCGACGAUCCGUAACUGGUCUGAGAGGAUGAUCAGUCACACAGAACCAGAAACACGUUCCAGACUCUUAGGGAGGCCGGCGGUGGGAAUUUUUGGACAGUGGAGGAAAACUUGACCAAGCCAUGCCGGGUGUUUAAAGAAGGCCUCGGAAUUGAAAGCACCUUAAGUUUGGGGGAAAGGACGGUAAUUAAUACCCUGCUUGUUUUACGGUUCCCAAAGAAAAAAGCCCGGCUUACUUCGUG